AGAGUUUGAUCAUGGCUCAGAGCGAACGCUGGCGGCAGGCUUAACACAUGCAAGUCGAGCGGGCGUAGCAAUACGUCAGCGGCAGACGGGUGAGUAACGCGUGGGAACGUACCUUUUGGUUCGGAACAACACAGGGAAACUUGUGCUAAUACCGGAUAAGCCCUUACGGGGAAAGAUUUAUCGCCGAAAGAUCGGCCCGCGUCUGAUUAGCUAGUUGGUGUGGUAACGGCGCACCAAGGCGACGAUCAGUAGCUGGUCUGAGAGGAUGAUCAGCCACAUUGGGACUGAGACACGGCCCAAACUCCUACGGGAGGCAGCAGUGGGGAAUAUUGGACAAUGGGCGCAAGCCUGAUCCAGCCAUGCCGCGUGAGUGAUGAAGGCCCUAGGGUUGUAAAGCUCUUUUGUGCGGGAAGAUAAUGACGGUACCGCAAGAAUAAGCCCCGGCUAACUUCGUGCCAGCAGCCGCGGUAAUACGAAGGGGGCUAGCGUUGCUCGGAAUCACUGGGCGUAAAGGGUGCGUAGGCGGGUCUUUAAGUCAGGGGUGAAAUCCUGGAGCUCAACUCCAGAACUGCCUUUGAUACUGGGGAUCUUGAGUUCGGGAGAGGUGAGUGGAACUGCGAGUGUAGAGGUGAAAUUCGUAGAUAUUCGCAAGAACACCAGUGGCGAAGGCGGCUCACUGGCCCGAUACUGACGCUGAGGCACGAAAGCGUGGGGAGCAAACAGGAUUAGAUACCCUAGUAGUCC
rnacentral:rRNA from 1 species